GCCUUUUGAAAGUUUGUAGUAUAAUUAGUUUAGUAUAAAAGGUUUUACCUGCUCUCUGGCUAGUUAGUUGAAUAGCUGCACUAAUGUGUAAUAAUGUAGCGCGGUAGAUAGCUUCUUGAUUGGAAGAUAGAAUGAAUGGUGUGACGUGGAAUAGCUGUUUCAGAUGUAACCCACGAAGUUUCUUUUUAAGUGAAAAAGCUUAAAUUUUUGUAAAAGACGAGAAGACCCUAUCGAACUUGGAUUAGGUUUAAAUUGGUUGUUCUGGUUAGUAAAAAUGUUAUUAAUGUUAACAUAAAAGCUUAGCCUCUUAAACAAGAAGGCAGUAUAUUCUAUAUGGAAUGUACUUACUAGACCAUAUUUGAAUUAAAGGUUUGCUGGGGCAGUGAUGAACGAUUUAACGUUUUUGUGUAGUAUGAUGAACCCUUCAUGAAGGGAAUAGAGCAAAAGUUACCGUAGGGAUAACAGCGCAAUGAGUUUUCUGAAAAGAAAUUAAGAAGAUGCGUGCGACCUCGAUGUUGAAUUAAAGGAGCUUUUUUGUAAGAAUCAAUUAAAGUAAAACUGUUCGUUUUUUAAAUAUUU
rnacentral:rRNA from 1 species